AGAAGCUCUUGCCUUGCCAGUGGCCGGCCUUGACCCAGAACGCCCAGUCUGGCGUGACCACCAUGGAUUCGGCUGGGACAAACACGGUGAACAUCCAGAGGCGGGUGACACAGUAGACUAUCCAGGUCACCUGUCCCCCAGCACGUUUCUCCAGUGGCUCACAGGACAGGGCCACAUUCCUGUCUUACCAGAAGAAAACUUCAGUCUUUGUGCAGUUCAAUCACACCUGUGACAUCCUGUAUGGUUCACAUACAGUUUGCCACCCAACAGUCGCUGCAUGUAGUAAUACAAUCCUCCUGCCUGUUAAGCAUAUGCAAACUUCUGAGUUCAAACAAGUGAUGACAGAGGACAGGCAUUUCAUCAGGUUUAAGUGAAAUGUUGCAGUUUCAAAUAUGCAUAUACAGGUGCUGGUCAUAAAAUUAGAUUAUCAUCAAAAAGUUUAUUUCAGUAAUUCCAUUCAAAAAGUGAAACUUGCAUAAUGUAUGCAUUCAUUCCACACAGACUAUAUUUCAAGUGUUUAUUUCUUUUAAUUUUGAUUAUAACCGACAACUAAUGAAAAUCCCAAAUUCAGUAUCUCUGAAAAUUAGAAUAUUACUUAAGACCAAUACAAAAAAGGAUUUUUAGAAAUGUUGCCCAACUGAAAAGUAUGAACAUGAAAAGUAUGAGCAUGUACAGCACUCAAUACUUAGUUGGGGAUCCUUUUGCCUGAAUUACUGCAGCAAUGCGGCAUGGCGUCGAUCAGUCUGUGGCACUGCUCAGGUGUUAUGAGAGCCCAGGUUGCUCUGAUAGUGGCCUUCAGCUCUUCUGUAUUGUUGGGUCUGGCGUAUCGGAUCUUUCUCUUCACAAUACCCCAUAGAUUUUCUAUAGGGUUAAGGUCAGGCGAGUUUGCUGGCCAAUUAAGAACAGGGAUACCAUGGUCCUUAAACCAGGUACUGGUAGCUUUGGCACUGUGUGCAGGUGCCAAGUCUUGUUGGAAAAUGAAAUUUGCAUCUCCAUAAAGUUGGUCAGCAGCAGGAAGCAUGAGGUGCUCUAAAACUUCCUGGUAGAUGGCUGCGUUGACCUUGAACCUCAGAAAACACAGUGGACCAACACCAGCAGAUGACAUGGCACCGCAAACCAUCACGGACUGUGGAAACUUUACACUGGACUUCAAGCAACGUGGAUUCUGUGCCUUUCCUCUCUUCCUCCAGACUCUGGGACCUUGAUUUCCAAAAGAAAUGCAACAUUUUCUUUAAUCAGAGAACAUAACUUUGGACCACUCCGCAGCAGUCCAGUCCUUUUUGUCUUUAGCCCAGGCGAGACGCUUCUGACGCUGUCUUGUUAAAGAGUGGCAUUACAUUUUUGAAUGGGUUUUGUUUCACAAUCCUCUCCAGGGUGCGGUUAUCCCUAUUGCUUGUACACUUUUUUUCUACCACAUCUUUUCCUUCCCUUCGCCUCUCUAUUAAUGUGCUUGGACACAGAGCUCUGUGAACAGCCAGCCUCUUUAGCAAUGACCUUUUGUGUCUUGCCCUCUUUGUGCAAGGUGUCAAUGGUUGUCUUUUGGACAGCUGUCAAGUCAGCAGUCUUCCCCAUGAUAGUCUAGUUCUGUAGGCUACACAGCGAGACCAUCUAAAGGCCUUUGCAGGUAUUUUGAGUUAAUUAGCUGAUUAGUGUGGCACCAGGUGUCUUCGAUAUUGAACCUUUUCACAAUAUUAAAAUUUUCUGAGAUACUGAAUUUGGGGUUUUCAUAAGUUGUCAGUUAUAAUCAUCAAAAUUAAAAGAAAUAAACACUUGAAAUAGAUCAGUCUGUGUGGAAUGAAUGUAAACAUACAAGUUUCACUUUUGGAAUGGAAUUACUGAAAUAAAUCAACUUUUUGAUUAUAUUCUAAUUUUAUGACCAGCACCUGUACAUUCAGACUCAAAUAGUAAUAGAUAAGAUGUUUGUGCAGUCUUAUUUCAUUUUUUGUCAAAUCCAGUUCGUAUAUGUUAACCCAAUUCACUGUUCAUGGGUGUGUUAAAUGACCCAGUGUGCAUGGCUAAUUGUUUUGAUAUUUUAGAAAGUAUAAAUCAUUGUUAGCCAUAUUGAAUGUUACACUUCAAAAAGCAUUUCCAUCGCACCAUUACAAUGUUUGUCAGAGAAGAUGUCCUUCACUACGUUCUUUCCCGCUUCCCUGUGGUUGUGUCAGCAAGACAGAAGUCCGAUUUAAAAAAAAUUGCUGUGAAUGGAAGGUGGACUAUAAGGUGCCUGGAUACAUGGGGUCCUAGACUGGACUUAAGCAAUCAUGAAUUAUUAAAAGCCUUUAGUCCUCUGAUUGGCACAGGCAUGACUGUCAAUGAUGGUGAAGUAGGUACAAUGCAUGUGCAAGUGUGGUCAAAUAAAUGUAUUUUCCAAAACUAUUUGAAUGAGAAAGGGGAUCAAUGGCAACGCGUAGAGAUUCAAUGUCCUCGGUCUUCAAUGGACAUUCCAUUUCUGGCAUGGUAACACCUGUGUUGGCAGAGUUAUGAAAGAGCCCUGAGCACUCCCAAUCA
ensembl:lncRNA